rnacentral:rRNA from 7 species
ACAACGACUCUCGGCAACGGAUAUCUCGGCUCUCGCAUCGAUGAAGAACGUAGCGAAAUGCGAUACUUGGUGUGAAUUGCAGAAUCCCGUGAACCAUCGAGUCUUUGAACGCAAGUUGCGCCCGAAGCCAUCAGGUUGAGGGCACGUCUGCCUGGGCGUCACG